AGCGAACGCUGGCGGCAGGCUUAACACAUGCAAGUCGAGCGGGCACUUUCGGGUGUCAGCGGCGGACGGGUGAGUAACGCGUGGGAACGUGCCCUCUGGUUCGGAAUAACUCAGGGAAACUUGAGCUAAUACCGGAUACGCCCUUUUGGGGAAAGGCUUGCUGCCGGAGGAUCGGCCCGCGUCUGAUUAGCUAGUUGGUGAGGUAACGGCUCACCAAGGCGACGAUCAGUAGCUGGUCUGAGAGGAUGAUCAGCCACACUGGGACUGAGACACGGCCCAGACUCCUACGGGAGGCAGCAGUGGGGAAUAUUGGAAAAUGGGCGCAAGCCUGAUCCAGCCAUGCCGCGUGAGUGAUGAAGGCCUUAGGGUUGUAAAGCUCUUUUAUCCGGGACGAUAAUGACGGUACCGGAGGAAUAAGCCCCGGCUAACUUCGUG
rnacentral:rRNA from 1 species